rnacentral:lncRNA from 1 species
AGAAUUAGUUCAUUUGGGAAAUCGGAGGUUUUCUGGAAGAGAUAGCAUGAGACGUGUGGCUUUGACGACAUGUGUAUUGUGGACAGAGAAAGGAAGGACACACCAGGCACAGGGCACAGCCAAGACAAAGGCAAGGGGGCAGGAAAGUGGGGCUCAGCUGGAUACACCUGUGGCUGAAGCUGCCUUGGCGAGCCAGGGCGGAGCUGUCCAGUUUAGCGAGGAAGCCAGAAGGCUGCCCAUCCAUGUCCCGUGCCCAGACCUCGCUGUGGGAUAACUGAGAGGGGAAGAGAGGUCCUAGAAGGAGGCAGCAGACCUCCACUCUCUACCCCUGGCCUAGGACAGGGAAGGGAGGCCUGUUUCUCGGGGAGGGGGGCAGGGAACAUGUAACCAGGCAAUUUGAAGGCAAUAUGAUGAGUCUGGGAAGUAUAGGAGACUGUGAGGACCACUGGAGACACUGGCUGAGCCGGGAGGGCUUCCUGGAGGAGGUGAUGCCUGGGGAAGGAGUCAGAAUUAUUCCAGAGGAGAUGGAUACAUUAAAGAAUGGCCCCAACAUGGUUAUCAGCACAUGCAAAGAUUGGGAGAGUAAGGGAACAGGACUUGUUGGAGAAGCUGAGAGUAAUUCAGGGGCAGUCAUCUGGGGCUAGGGUGUCAGCUGGGGUCACAUCAUACAAGGACCUGAAGAGCAGGGACAAGAGGUUUGGGCGAAUGUGGGAAGAAGGUGAAAAUCACAGGAUUCAGCCCCAAGGCCAUGACCACUCUGGUUUCCAUUCUCUGCAGAGAUGAGAGGGUUGCUGUAACCAGGGAAGCCAGCCCACUGCAAAGGGCAUAUGGUGUACUGGUUGUCGCUCUGAAUUUUGGCUUUGCUUUUAUUUUUUAUUAUAAAGUAUGCAAAGAGGUAUGCAGGAAAAAAAAUGAAAACGCUUAUGCCUUCCACUCAGCUUUAUCAAGUUUUGAUAUCUUCACAUAUUUCAGAUAUUCUUAAAAAUCAUCACGUAACAAAUAACAAAAUGUAGCAAAUAACAUCGUAUAACAAACAUGAUAACAUAACAAAUAACAUCACAUAACAAAUAACAUAACAUCGUCACAUAACAAAUCAUAGCAAAUAGAGUGGAGGUCUCUUGUACCCCACCCUCCUCUUAUUCCCCUCCCCAAGGCCACUGCUCUCCCAAACUUGGUGUUUAUCCUAUCUUAAAAUGCUUUAAUUACAAAUCUUUCAAUGGUGAAUAUAUUGGGCUGUUUUGCACAUCUGGGAGCUUUAUUAAAAUGUCAUCACAUGGUCUAUAUCCUUCCGGAACUUGUUUUUGUCCUCUCCACAUUACAAUUAUGAGAUAUGUCUAUUCAACAUUCAUUCUGCAUUUAAAAUGAAGAUAAGCACAAAAAAUAAAUGCUUAGUAAACACAGAACAGGAUAAAGCUUCCUUAAUUUGAGAAGUGGCAAUUUCCAGGAUCUUACAGAAAUGUCUUCCUUAAUAGUGAAACAUGAGAACCAUUUUUGGUAAGAUCCAGAAGAAAUUCAAAAUGUCCACGGUGUAGGGGAUUGAACAGUGUCCCCCAAAAGCAAUGCUGGGGCUAACUGUGGUGGCUUACACCUGUAAUCCCAGCACUAGGCUGAAGAAGUGCUUGAGGCCAGGAGUUGGAGACCAACCUGGACAACACAAGAAGACCCCACCUCUACAGAAAAAUUUAGCUGUGUGUGGUGGCACAUGUUUGUAGUCCCAGCUACUCAGGAGGCUGAGGCAGGGCAAUCUCAUGUCACUACACUCCAGCCUGGGCAACAGAGCAAGAUCCCCUUUUUUUUUUUUUUGAGACAGGGUCUCACUCGGUUUGCCCAGUGGCAGAAUCACAGCUCACUGCAGCCUUGACCUCCAGAGCACAAGUGAUCCUCUUGCCUGAGCCUUCCAGGUAGCUGCAACUGCAGGGGAGCACCACCAUGCCCAACUCUUUCUUUCCUUCCUUCCUUCCUUCCUUCCUUCCUUCCUUCCUUUUUCUUUCUUUCUUUCCUCCUUCCUUUUUCUUUCUUUCUUUCUUU